ensembl:snRNA U6 U6 spliceosomal RNA
GUGCCACUUCAGUAGCACAUACACUGAAACAGGAACAAUAAAGAGAAGAUUAGCAUGGCCCCUACACAAGGAUGACACUCAAACUUGGGAAGUUUCUACAUUUUUU